rnacentral:rRNA from 1 species
UACGUAGGGGGCAAGCGUUGUCCGGAUUCAUUGGGCGUAAAGAGCUCGUAGGCGGUUCGGCAAGUCGGGUGUGAAAACUCCAGGCUCAACCUGGAGACGCCACCCGAUACUGCUGUGACUUGAGUCCGGUAGGGGACCACGGAAUUCCUGGUGUAGCGGUGAAAUGCGCAGAUAUCAGGAGGAACACCAAUGGCGAAGGCAGCUCACUGGGACGGUAUUGACGCUGAGACGCGAAAGCGUGGGGAGCAAACAGG